GGAAAGCCGAGGCCACCGGCCGCCGCCCCGCGAAGGGAGGGGGCGGCGGAGCCGCAGCAGCUUCAGGUUUCCUUCUAGAGCUGGUGGCGGGCGCGGCCAUGUGAUGAGGCGGCGACGAGCCCGGCUGGCUGGAGAUGCAGGAACCAUGGAGCUGAGCUGCAGUGAAGUGCCUCUUUACGGACAGAGGACGGUCUAUGCAAAGUUCGGCAAAAACGUUUAUCUUCCUGAAGAUGCGGAGUUUUACUUUAUUUAUGAUGGGUCGCAUCAGAGGCACGUGGUGAUUGCGGAUCGUGUUGAGGAUAAUGUUCUCCAGUCUAUCAUUCCAGGCCAUUGGCUUCAAGAGACGGUGAUGGUAUCUGUGUGCCUCUGCUCAGAAGGGUAUUCCCCGGUGACCAUGGGCUCUGGCUCAGUGACCUAUGUGGACAACAUGGCCUGCAGGCUGGCUCGUCUGCUGGUCACUCAGGCUGACCGACUCACGCCCUGUAGUCACCAGACACUGCUGACCCCGUUUGCCCUGACAGCAGAAGCGCUGCCUGCCUUGGAUGAGGAACUCGUGCUGGCUCUGACCCAACUGGAGCUGCCUUUGGGUUGGACAGUCCUGGGAAAUUCCUCACUUGAAGUGUGUCUACACAGAGAGUCUCUCCUGCACCUGGCAGUGAGGUGGGCCCUGCCUAAGCUAUUCCAUUUCCUCUUGUGCCUCCCUGGAGGAGUCAAGGCCUUGGAGCUACCUAAUGAAGAGGCCACCACACCAUUAGACUUAGCCUUGCAUGGCGGACACUCUAUGCUGGUGGAAGACAUCUCAAAUUUUCAGGGUCGCCGCUCCCCAGGCUUCUCCCGACUGCGUCUUAAUGAAGAUGCCACGCUGCAGUUCGAUCGGUCAUCAGAAACGUUGACGCUGACCGUUAACCACACAGCUGAGCAUCUGUUGGAAGCAGAUAUCAAACUCUUCCGGAAGUAUUUCUGGGACAGAGCCUUUCUUGUCAAGGCUCUUGAUCAAGAAGCCAAGACAGAGAGAGCAACCAUGCCUUCUGGAGCUGCGGAAACUGAAGAAGAGGUUAGGAAUCUGGAGUCUGGCAGAUCACCCUCAGAAGAGGAGGAGGAUGGACAGCUCGUCAAAAGCCAGGCCGACGGGCCGAGUGAACAGGAAGACCAGGACCGCCUAGUUUUGGAUCACUCCUUUGAUGGCCUCAAAAAGUCCAAGCACGCCCCAGCGUCCCUUGCUGCAGGCCAGCUCUCUGACGUGCCGAAUGGGGGUGACGAAGUCUACGCUAACUGUAUGGUGAUUGAUCAGGUUGGCGAUUUGGACAUCAACUAUAUAAACAUAGAGGGACUCUCCACCCAUACUAGCCCGGAGUCCAUGAGGUCCACUCUGGGGCCUCAGGCUUGUAAGCACAUCCUUCCUCCUGACACCAGUCCCUGCGGGCACCUGCUCUGUGAGGACAGUGACAGGACCCUGGAUGCUGCAGCCUCUCAGUCCUGCAUGUCACCACCCAGUUCUCACACUUCCAACUUGAACCUUUCUUUUGGUCUCCAUGGAUUUGUAAAGGAGCAGAGUCAUCUCAAGAAAAGAAGUUCUAGCCUGGAUGCCCUCGUUGCCGACAGUGAAGAGGAAGGGCGUUCUGAGCCCCCCAUCUGCUAUGCUGUCGGCUCUCAGAGUUCCCCCAGAACUGGGCUCCCCGGCGGAGAUGAACUGGAUUCUUUUGAUGCGAACACCGAACCAGACUGUAACAUCUCUAGGACCGAAUCACUUUCCCUGUCCAGCACUCUGCAUUCGAAGGAGUCCCUGCUUUCUGGGAUCCGAUCACGCUCCUACUCCUGCUCAUCACCCAAAAUCUCUUCAGGAAAAUCCCGGCUAGUGCGCGAUUUCACAGUGUGCAGUUCCAGUGAAGAACAGAGAUCAUAUAGUUUCCAGGAGCCACCGGGAGAAAAAAGAAUUCAGGAAGAAGAAUGGGACGACUACAUCAUUCCUGCCAAAGCAGAGUCCGAAAAGCACAAAGUGAGCCGGACUUUCAGCUUCCUCAUGAACAGGAUGACCAGUCCUCGGAACAAAUCUAAGAUGAAAAACAAGGACACUAAAGAUAAAGAAAAACUCAAUCGACAUCAGUUUGUCCCGGGAACGUUCUCUGGAGUUCUGCAGUGUUCCGGUUGUGACAAAACACUCCUGGGGAAAGAGUCACUCCAGUGUGCCAACUGCAAGGCCAACACACACAAGGGCUGCAAAGACACUGUGCCUCCGUGUACCAAGAAAUUCCAAGACAAAUACAACAAGAACAAACCACAGACCAUCCUCGGAAGCUCUUCAGUUAGAGACGUCCCACCGCCUGGGCUCUCCUUGCACCCUUCCCCCUCCAUGCCUAUUGGACUGCCAGCUGGAAGGAAGGAAACUGCAGGGCAGGCACAUCCGUUGUCCAGAAGUGUCCCAGGCACCACUUUGGAAAGCUUCAGGAGGGCAGUGACAUCCUUGGAGUCUGAGGGUGACAGUAACAGCUGGAGAAGCAGGUCUCAUUCCGAUGAGCUGUUCCAGUCCAUGGGCUCGUCUCCUUCCACGGAGUCAUUCAUGAUGGAAGAUGUCGUGGAUUCUUCUCUGUGGAGUGAGCUCAGCAGUGAUGCUCAAGAGUUUGAAGCUGAGUCCUGGAGUCUCGUGGUGGACCCUUCCUUCUGCAGCAGACAGGAGAAGGAUGUCAUCAAAAGACAGGAUGUCAUUUUUGAGCUGAUGCAGACGGAGGUGCACCACAUCCAGACACUGCUCAUCAUGUCUGAAGUCUUCAGGAAGGGCAUGAAGGAGGAGCUGCAGCUGGACCACAGCACGGUGGACAGGAUCUUCCCCUGCUUAGAUGAGCUGCUGGAGACUCACAAGCAUUUCUUCUUCAGCAUGAAGGAGCGCAGGCAGGAGUCCUGCACCGGCAAUGACAGGAACUUUGUGAUCAACCAAAUCGGAGACAUUUUGGUACAACAGUUUUCAGAAGAAAAUGCAAGCAAGAUGAAGAGGAUCUAUGGAGAUUUCUGCAGCCAUCACAAAGAAGCCAUGAGCCUCUUUAAAGAGCUCCAGCAGAACAAAAAGUUUCAGAAUUUUAUUAAGAUCCGAAAUAGCAACCUGUUGGCCCGUCGCCGUGGAAUCCCAGAGUGCAUCCUGCUUGUCACCCAGCGCAUCACGAAGUACCCGGUCUUGGUGGAGAGGAUCCUGCAGUACACCAAGGAAAGGACCGAAGAGCACAGAGACCUGUGUAGAGCUCUUGGCUUAAUUAAAGACAUGAUCGCAGCCGUGGACCUGAAAGUCAGUGAAUAUGAGAAGAACCAAAAAUGGCUCGAGAUCCUAAAUAAAAUCGAGAACAAAACAUACACAAAGCUCAAAAAUGGCCACGUGUUUAGAAAGCAGGCGCUGAUGAGCCAAGAAAGGGCUCUUCUGCACGACGGGCUCGUUUACUGGAAAACUGCGACAGGCCGUUUCAAAGACAUCCUGGCCCUGCUUCUCACCGAUGUGCUGCUCUUCUUGCAAGAAAAAGACCAGAAGUAUAUCUUUGCAGCUGUUGACCAGAAGCCUUCAGUUAUUUCCCUUCAGAAGCUCAUCGCUAGGGAAGUCGCCAACGAGGAGAGAGGCAUGUUUCUCAUCAGUGCUUCGUCAGCGGGUCCCGAGAUGUAUGAAAUCCACACCAGUUCCAAAGAGGAACGGAAUAACUGGAUGAGGCGGAUCCAGCAGGCAGUAGAAAGUUGUCCAGAAGAAGAAGGAGGAAGGACAAGUGAGUCUGAUGAAGAGAGGCGGAAAGCUGACGCUAGAGUGGCCAAAAUUCAGCAAUGUCAAGAGAUUCUCAGCAACCAAGACCAGCAGAUCUGCACAUAUUUGGAAGAAAAGCUGCACAUCUACGCUGAGCUUGGGGAACUAAGUGGCUUUGAGGAUGUCCACCUAGAACCCCAUCUGCUCAUCAAGCCCGACCCCGGAGAACCUCCCCAGGCAGCCUCCCUGCUUGCAGCAGCCCUGAGAGAAGCUGAGAGUCUGCAAGUUGCUGUGAAGGCUUCAAAGCUGGCUGAUGUAAGCCAGCCAUCUGAAGAAGGCCCUGGAGGGGCUGUCCUGGCUGACACACUCAGUGCACAAGAUGCACCAGCAUCGCCGACUGCCUUCACAGAAGGGACAGAAGGAAGAGGCUGUUGGGAUGUGGAUCCCCGGCUCCAGGGUGUGGUAACGGACUUGGCGGUCUCUGAUGCAGGGGAGAAGGUGGAAUAUAGAAGUUUUUCCGGUUCUUCACAAUCAGAGAUUAUACAAGCGAUACAGAACUUAACGCGUCUCCUCUACAGCCUUCAGGCUGCCUUGACCAUCCAGGACAGCCACAUUGAGAUCCACAAGCUAGUUCUACAGCAGCAGGAGAGCUUGGCCCCUAGCCACUCCUUCCGAGGUGGCCCCUUGCAAGACCAGGAGAAAUCCCGUUACCUGGAAAAGCAUCGUGAAGAGCUGGCCAACAUCCACAAGCUCCAGUACCAGUUCCAACAAGAGCAGCGGCGUUGGCACCGCACAUGUGACCAGCAACAGCGUGAGCAGGAGGCCCAAGAGAGCUGGCUGCAGGCACGGGAACGUGAGUGCCAGUCGCAGGAGGAAUUACUGCUGCGCCACCGUAGCGAACUGGACCACCAACUCCAGGAGUACCAGCAGAACCUCGAGCGGUUGCGGGAGGGCCAGAGGAUGGUGGAGAGGGAGAGGCAGAGGAUGCGUGACCAGCAGGGUCUGCUGGGCCACUGUAAGCAUAGUCGCCAGAGGAGCCUCCCAGCCGUCUUCUCUCCGGGGAGCAAAGAGGUAACGGAACUUAAUCGAGCUGAGAGUUUGUGUCAUGAAAAAUCAUUUUUCCUCAAUGACGCCUUCACACACAUGUCGCUUAACACAUCCAAUAAACCAAACCCAUCAGGUGCCCCCUGGGACGCUCACCCCCCAGGUGGGUCUCAUCUUGAUUUGGCAAGGACUAGUGAUAGUCAGAUAGAAGUGAAGAUGGACGUUUCUCAGCCUUCCGAUGUCAACUCUGAACUCUGGACAACAGGGCUGGGCCCUCAGAGACCUGCUCGCCAAGAAAGCAUCAAGGAUUCUUGUAAAAAUGCUUGACCACUGUUUGCUCUUUGUCAUGAGUACCUGAUGGCGUCUUAUCAGAGACAUGUACCUCAUACCCCGAGAUGCUCCUCAAGAGCGUAGUGAGGAAUAGUCCUUGUGGGACUUGAUAAAGUCAAGGUCAUGGCCACUGGUUGGUGAUAACCUUCUUUGGAGAAAGACAAACCUGUCACUUCUAGAUUUUCACAUCCGAAACCCACAUCCUGUUUUGUGGCUCACUAUGGAAAAUCGAAUUGAGCAACAUUAGGGACAAAGACUGGUUUUCCUUUGCUCUGAAGAUACCUCAGGCUCUGUACAAAAACUGUUUUCCAUUAGAGGGAAAACGUUGUGCAGUAAGGCUCCCGAGAAACGAUAGUGACCGCCAGUGAUGCCAUCAGGAAAUGGUUCUUCAAGUGUUUCAGAGUAUAGGCACGAAUCUUAGAUGAACUGGGAAUGCAAAUGACUUUGUAGAAUUAGAACACUAAUGAUAAAGACGUCUCCUGAAGAAAAAGUUAUUCUAGGAAAGUGUGACUUUUGAGUUUGGGGACAUGAAUGAGGGACAUAGUAAGUAGGACACACAAGUCAAAAAUCUUGAUUAAAAUAAACAAGAGCAGAGCCACGGUUCAGGAGACGUGGGGUUCUGUUCUGUGGGGUAAGAAGGGUUAAACAGUGCAUCAUCAGUGAUCUCAACAGUAGACUAAACAAGCUGGGUGCACCCCUGGGCGUCUGGGUCCUUGGCCAUUGCUUUCAGACCUUGGCACUGAUGCCUAUGAUGAAAGUUACAGUGUUGUUUAAUGUUAAAUAAAACUUUCACUUCAAAAUGGUUGUGAUUUCAAGUGGCUUUUCCUGAAGGAUGUGGCAGCCCAUACUAGGAAUCCCAGCAUUUGUGAGAUAGAGGUAAGAGGGUCAUGAGUUCAAGGUCAGUCUGAACUACAUAGUAAGACUACCUGAAGCACGCAGGCACGCACAUGCAGAAGAAAAAAUAUGUAAAUAAAUAAAAUGUUUUCAUGUACAGAAAAUUCAGGAAAAGGCAAAGAAUAUGUCUUUAAAUUAGAGACAAGUCUUGUCUUGUCGGCAAGUGACUCUUAUAUUUGCUGGUCACAAGAGCAGAGGUCGAGUGUAGAUUGUAGCUGUGAAUGGUACUAGUUAGUUUCCCAGCCCUUAAAGGAUAAUGUUUGGGUUCUGUUCAAACAUGUGUUGCUGAGAAGGCUGAAGACAGACAGGUGGGAAAAAGAUGACUCCCUUAUAAACAUUAAUUUAAACGCAACUUCAAGUAAUGGAUUUGAUUACAUUGAGCAUUCUUUUGUCUUACCUCUAAAAUGUUGUUUGUAAAGUCACCGAACCCAAACAGAAACGUAACACGAUUUCAUGAUUUCAGCCCAAUCCUUCAUGACUUGCCCAAGGCGACAUCUCACCCCGUGGUGUGGGUUUAAAUCACUUCACAGUUUAUGAGUCACUUUGCUUGUCAUAGAUAUAACACGAUGUUUUCUAAACCAUUUGUAGGCUGGUCAUGAAAAUAGCUAAUCACCAAGUUGGCUCAAAAGGAUGAUAAUUAUGGCCGUACAGUGGAAGGCCAGAUGUCUUCAGUGUUUGUUAGAAGCUCCAGUAUUAAGGAACAGAGGAAAGAAUGAAGGCAAUACACAAUGGUGUCAACAGGCAGGCUGUCCCUGAGGGGACCACCUCGGGCUGUGCAUGCAUAUCCCUCAGCAAGGGGGCGUGUUCUUUUGUUCCAAACAUGUACAAGAAAAAGAAACGAUACCAGUCAGAUUGAGAAAAUCUCUUCCAUUUUAAGCUGCAUUACGGGGCUAACCUGGGCUCACCGUGGCCCUCACCAUGUGGCUGUGGGGAUUUCUCUUGUAAUGUGUAACCAGUAGCUCAGUUACGAAGCAGAAAAGCCCCUGAAGCAAGCUUCUGCUUCUCCACUUGGUUCAGCCAGACUCUGGGGUUUCAAAUGUGUUUCAGUUUAUUCGUAUCUAUUUUAGGCCUACUAAUCUGUACUCUGUUCUGUUUCCAGAGAUGUGGUGAGGUUCAAAUUAUUAUGUCAAAGGGGAGAGUGUGGCCGUUUGAAAUUGUGUCUCAUUAGAAUCGUGUCUGCCUUUUCAGUUCUCGAGAUCCGGACCCCAUGAGUAUUUCUUUGUUUAUUAAAAAAGUUAAGGAAGUUGUAUUUUUUUUCUCCUCGUGAAUUAUCAGGCGUUUUGAUCGCAAAUGAAACUGGAUCAUUUCAUUUUUAACUCUCCAAGAAUUCUGCUUUCAGAUCCGGCGAGGUUCCAUUUGAAGAAAUAUACUUUCAGUUUCUGUGAGGAUCAUAUUCUUUGGGAGAUUAUAUAUAUAUAUAUAUAUAUAUAUAUAUAUAUAUAUAUAUAUAUAUAUAUAUAUAUUUGGAAAAGGUGGCUGGCUUUCCGAAACACACAGUUGCUCUGCUAGGACUCUCUCAGGGGGGCAGAAAGAGAGUAAUAAGAUCAGGAAUCACAGAAUGGUUUCUAUUUCAAAAUCUGACUGCCUGGCCUGGCCUCCAUAGUUCAGGUGGAAAUGAAGAAAGGACAGGGAGCAGGAAAUUGAGUUCCCCCUGGGUAACACAGGGCCACACAACACCCCCCUCGGUGACACAGGGCCACACAAUAUCCCCCUGGGUGACACAGGGCCACACAACAUCCCCCUGGGGGAGGCUGGGCCACAUAGCAUCCAGCUGGGAUCACAGUGUAGGCCAUCACCUGAGGGCCCAACGUCUUGGUAGAAAUAGUGUUCUCUUACAUUUUCAUCCUCAUUCCAAAUAUUCUGACUAAAGCCCUGCUGCCUGCUCUACAAAGAAUGUGCACGCACACAAUCCUGUGCAAGUGUUUGCACAUCUACGCUCUCCGGUCCCAUGAUCACUAUUGUGCCUCUGUCUUCCGGAACUGCAGCCAAUAUUUAAAGAUUGGAGAAAAAAAUUUUUUCCCAAUACACACUUGGUCCUUUGGCUUGCUUUUUGCUCUUCUCCUGAAGCCAUUAAUGAGAAACCCCAGAUUGCCAGACUCCUGGGCAUUUUGGACUCUGCUUCACCCCAGAGCUCGGAGCUUUAUGGAUUACAGGAGUGUGCCAUUGCUCCCAACCUCCUCUUUCUGUGGGUGACUUUUUUUUUCCUGUUCUCAGUGUAAUGGUUUGUGUGUCCCGGCUGGCCCGCUCAUUGGCAAGGGUUGGCCAUUGGCAAAGGGGGUGGGGGGAGCUGCUGCAGCAUAGGUGACCUGCUCAAUCUGUCAGUAUUUGCUAGAUGAAAGUGUUGAGACAUUUUUUUUUCUUUGAAGUUGUUUGGUAUCAACAUCAGCUGUUCCAACAGCUGGAGAGGGGAAUUAAGAUCGUGCGAACAACAUCAUUUCCACAUGCAAACAUACUCUGUCUCUUAAAGUGGUAAUAUAGUAUGGAGAAGCCCUUCAGAGUUGAUUUGUAGUCUUGUAGUCUUGCCUGGGUUGAUUUGAAAUCAUUGCUUCGUAUCUUUGCAUGUGUCUGACCAUGCCGGGGGAGGUUGCUAGGUCUGUAAUUGUUGCCCUGCUGGUUUGCGGGGGCGGGGGGAUAAGGACAUCUUUGUCUUUGCUAUCUUUUAGGAGGGUGAGUGGAGAGAAAAUAUUAAACAUGUUGGCUCUUGUAACCUGAAAGGACUGGGCAAGUCACGUCCAGCUCAGUGACAAAGGAGAUCAUGAGACCUGAGGAGGGAGGUGUCUUUCUGGAGCCUGCAGUCCUCUAAGCUGAGGUCUGCAAUAUUUCUAGCCGUGUGGUACUGGGCAAAACAUUGAACGAGCCUGAGCCUUAGUUUCCCAACUUGUAAACUGUGGGUUACAUUUUGAGUUGCAAAGAAAUGGAGAUCGUAAAAGACUUGGCACAGCUUUCGGGCAGGUGUCGAGAAGAUCCUGACAGAUGUGAUGGCUUCUACACAGAAGCAACUUCCACAGCCUUUAGAGAAUGCGUUCCUCGGAUUUGAGAUACAGGACUUAGGUCACAUUGCCCCAGCAUAAGAAGUUUUCUUCCUGGGUUGGUGAUGUACCUCAAAUGAUAGACUGCCUGCCUGACAUAUAUCUAGAACACCAUGAGUUGAUCCACGGUACCACAUAAAGCGACCAUAGUUGCCUGUGUCUGUAAUUGCAUAGGGGGAGAAAUGCCAUUGCAGCAAGAAAUGAUUGUAGAAGUGAUUUGUAGCAAGUAUGUUUCUUUCUUCAAAUCAAAGGGCUCCUUCGUUCCCCCCUUAAAGCAUAAUAUAGAAGCUUUUAUCAGAAAGUAGAGUCAGGAAAAUUGGAAGUUCAAGGUCCUCCUUUGCUAUCCCAAGACACGAGAGAUGCUGUCUCAAGGGGGAAAAAAAGAAAACAGAAGUUAGGCUUGGCCUGUGUCUUUGAGCGAGCUGAAGCAGGCAGCCUCGCUCCUCACCUCAGGGCCCUCCUUUUCCUCAGAGUCAUGUGAUCUGACGCUACUUCCUGAGGCCCUGGUUGCUGCUCCCUCUAUCAGCCCCACCUCUUAUUGGAAAAAAAAGAGAUCUGAGGGGCAGCAAAAAGAUGGAGCCUCCUGGAGACAUUCUGCCCUUCAUUUUUACCAAGCCAUCCACACUGCACCCCGUAGCAGCCAAAAUUCCUAUCUGGAGGGAAAGGUUCGAGGCAUUUUAUCAUUAGAAUGGAGACAGGUAUGGUAUCUGUCUAAUAAUGGCGGCUUAGAAUAAAAGUCGGCAACAGUGGUAAUGGUUUCUUUUUGAUGACUGAAAGAGAAAUAGGUGGACCUCAGGAUGACCUAUCCUCACUCCCCAUGCAAAUCUGUUGGCCUCUGCCUUUAACUAGAAGCUGCUUACCUGUGGUUUUGCUACCUCAGGGAGGUUGCAUAGUGGGAGAAAUGCCAUUGCAGCAAGAAAUGAUUGUAGAAGUGAUUUGUAGCAAGUAUGUUUCUUUCUUCAAAUCAAAGGGCCCCUUCGUUCCCCCCUUAAAGCAUAAUAUAGAAGCUUUUAUCAGAAAAGGGGAGACAGUGCCUGCUGUUGCUAGGCAACCAGAAAAAAAAAAAGCUGCAAGCCCAGCUACAGUCACAGUUGGCAAGAUUUUCCCAGAAACCUAGCUGCUCUUGCAAAGUCCUUUGGGUAGCGUUAGCAGACAUGCAUAGAGGGUGGGUAGAUGCCUAGCGGGGGUCCUUCUUCAUCCUCAGCCCCCUUUUCCAGACCUUCUUUUUGCCCACACUAGUGAACCCCAUGAUAAAUGGAGUAUUGAGACCAUGUUUUGUUUGGUUGGCUAGUUUUUUUGUUUGUUUUCUGGAGACAGGGUUUCUCUGUGUAGCCCUGGCUGUCCUGCAACUGUGUAGACCAGGCUAGCCUCAAACUCAGAAAUCCACUUGCCUCUGCCUCCAAAGUGCUAGGAUUAAAGGCCAUCAUGCAGCCUGAGACCAAGUCUUGACUUGAGAAUUCUGAAGAAAGAUACGGAGAGUCUAUGACACACACAAGGCUGUCUGCCUUUUUGAGACCUAAACCCACUUAAGAAAAUCAAUGGGAGGGGUUGGGGAUUUAGCUCAGUGGUAGAGUGCUUGCCUAGCAAGAGCAAGGCCCUAGCAAGGCCCUGGGUUCGGUCCCCAGCUCCGAAAAAAAAAAAAAAAAAAGAAAAUCAAU